UACGUAGGGUGCGAGCGUUAUUCGGAAUUACUGGGCGUAAAGCGCACGUAGGCGGCUUGUUAAGUCGGGGGUGAAAUCCUGGAGCUCAACUCCAGAACUGCCUUCGAUACAGGCGAGCUCGAGUUCGGGAGAGGUGAGUGGAACUGCGAGUGUAGAGGUGAAAUUCGUAGAUAUUCGCAAGAACACCAGUGGCGAAGGCGGCUCACUGGCCCGAUACUGACGCUGAGGUGCGAAAGCGUGGGGAGCAAACAGG
rnacentral:rRNA from 1 species